rnacentral:rRNA from 1 species
AUACGGAGGAUGCGAGCGUUAUCCGGAUUUAUUGGGUUUAAAGGGUGCGUAGGCGGUUUAUCAAGUCAGCGGUGAAACGCAAGGGCUUAACCCUUGACCUGCCGUUGAAACUGGUGGACUGGAAUGCGGAUGCUGUGGGAGGAAUGUGUGGUGUAGCGGUGAAAUGCAUAGAUAUCACACAGAACACCGAUUGCGAAGGCAUCUCACAAAUCCGUGAUUGACGCUGAGGCACGAAAGUGUGGGGAUCAAACAGGAUUAGAUACCCUGGUAGUCCACACUGUAAACGAUGAUGACUCGCUGUCGGCGAUAUACAGUCGGUGGCCAAGCGAAAGCGAUAAGUCAUCCACCUGGGGAGUACGACCGCAAGGUUGAAACUCAAAUGAAUUGACGGGG